GAAUUAUUAAAUUUUAAUUACCAAAAAAAAAAAAUUCAGUUAACCGGAAUCGCCCCGACGCCGUUGAGACCUUGUGGCGAAGAAAAGACGCAUCCAAAGGCCAAAGCCUUAAAAAACCAUUCACGCAUAUCGUAUUUGUAGUCUGCACGCUAGGUUGCUUCCAGAAAAGCCACACUGCCCACACACGCCUCUCUUUUCCUGCCUUUCACUGUCUAUCUCUCAAAAC
rnacentral:misc_RNA from 1 species